UUUAAGAUUCAGUAAUUUCUUAUUUGUUUUAGAUUUAUUAUUAGGACAAUGUUGAGUGCCCUGUCACUCGACUGGUUGGCACACCCCGCUGGAAGUUUUUUACUUCCAAAAUCAUGAAGAGUAUAUGUGAUCUUGACAAGACCCCUGGACCUGGCCGUCAGGUGAAGUACGGCAAUUUGGAGUUUAGGAAUGCUGUUGAAACUGCGUAUGCUGGUGAGCCUUCAGUCUGCGCUAUCUGAAGCUAUAUCUUGCCUUGAUCAUGAGCCAAGCAAGGUUGCAGCAAUGGCGGCUUUGAAAUCAUUUCUGAUUUUGAGUAUUCAGAUUCGGGUGAAGUACUCGCACUCGCAGGAGACGGGGAGCCCUACCAAGUGUAAGAUCAAAAUAAAGGACAUGCUGCUGAGGAAUAGAAAGAAGCAAUAGCCUAAUAUAUUCCAAAGACACGAAAUGGAGAAGAUAAAAUAGAUGUUGUGGUUGUUGACAAGGAGUCUGUUGGAUCUGUAAAUAGGCAUGUAAUUGGAGCUAAGAUUCUUUACGGAGAAAGAGCUUUGGGUCUUUAUCUUGCCAAGCACAACAAUAAAGAAUCAACGUGCUGCUGCCCUACUAACUGUGCUUGAGGUCUCACGAGCACUCGGAGGCUAGGGCGACGAUCUUGUGGGACGACGCGCUACAGUCGGGAGGGGGAGGCUUCUAGCACAAGUGCUACAACCUCUUCACCUGCAACAGCCACUCGUUCGUGGCCGACUACCUCAACCAGCUCGCUUACAACAGCUUCGUGGGUGGGCUGAGGAGCCAUCUCUCCGAGAAGGAAUUGGAAUUGCUAAUUGAAUCUACUGGUUCAGAGCUGUAUGGUGCAACAUCACAUUAUUUGAAGUGGGCUACUAUCAUUUUUUAUCUUAGCUACUAUUAAGCCAU